GAGUGUUUUCAGCUGCAUAAUGACGACCUGAGUUAACGCCACAAAAAGCUCAUUUCCUCUCGUUCUGCUUUCUUCAGCAUGAGGAGGAUUUCCUGAACUCAAAUAACCUCCAAAGAAACAGACGCAGCAGCUUUAGGACGCGAUGGACCGAGAGAUUCUCGUCUUUACUGUUCAGACGACUAAUCUGCAGCAUCUGAGAGAAGUUAUCAGAGUAAUAAACCCGUAAAUCUGAGAGAUUAGGUCAUUCAGACAAAGACAGGAAAGGUCAAAGCAGGUGAAGACUCACCUGUUCGAUGAGCUCACUGUCCUCUCAUCUCCACACCGACUGUAAUCUGUAAUCUGUAAUAAAUUAAAUUUAGUUUGCUCGCUCUCUUCUAACCGCUCAAUCUGGUGCAUUUGUUGUUUCUUUCUUUUACAGCUCGCAGACAUGGCGCUCACAUGUUCCUCCGCCUGCUGCGUGAUGAUCAUCUGCAGGCUUCAGAAGAGAGAAACGAUGAUCCCGACAGCGGCGAUGACAUGCUGUUUACCUUCAAGACAACAGCUGGAGAUGAAGAUGAAGAUGAAGAUGAAGAAGAAGAGAGAGGAGAAACGUCUGUUCAGACCGGAGCAGGAGAGAGAAGAUCGGAUCAUCUCCUGAAGAACAGAAGUGAAUGAAUGUUCUGAAUCAGCAGUGACUGUCGAAAGCUGAAGAAGCUGAAGAACUGGAUCUUUGAGCGUGCGUCUGUUCUUCUUCUUCUUCUUCUGUGUUUGUACGCUGCUGUCUGUGUUUGCUGCUCCUCAGCACUGUUGCAUGAUGGGAAAUAUAACACUUUCGUACCAGAGACUCAAAAUGAUCGUAUUUUGGGGAAAAUGAUCGUACACCCGUCAUAAUCAAAACAACAAUCUUACUGUUGCGUGAUGGUCACUCCUCCUGACCUCCGCCCUCUCUCUCUCUCUCUGUUUUUUAUUUGUACUCAGCUGUUCCUCCUCCCUCUCUCUCUCUCUCUCUCUCUCUCUCUCUCUCUCUCUCUCUCUCUCUCACCCUCCCUCUUUCUCUCUCUCUCCCUCACUCACUCCAUCUCGCUUUAAGCCGUUCGGCACUUUGUCUCUUCGGCAGCAGGUGAGGCAGAUUAAGCUGAAUUAGUUCCUGGCAGACCUGCAGCACCUCCACCUGAGUCAUCCUCUUUUCCUCUCUCCUCUGUCUUUCUCCUGCGUCACGCUCCUCCUCCUCCUCUUCUUCACCUCCUUCACUCUUUCUUCCUCCUGUAAGCCUGUAAACACGAUCAUAUAAACUGAAACUCCUCGGAGGAUUUCACUCUGAGUACGUUGGCAUCAUUUCUCUGACGGUUUACAGUCAGACCGAUUUAAAGUUUCUGUCUGUGAGGAAACAUCGGUGUUUAAUCCACACUUUGAUCAUCAGUUUAACGGUUAUUGAUCACAUUCAUCACGUCUGCUUCCUCAGACUGAUGGGACUGACAGCUCUCCUCCGUCUGAGUCCGAUCAGAGCUGAUGAUCUGUGUGUCUCUGGGUUUAUACCUGUCUUAUAUUAACUGACCAACAUGUCUGCGGUUUAUAAUGAGUGUAUGAAAUAUUGAUGCCCACUUCCUGAUGAACCUGCAGGAGCUGGAGCUGCUUCAUUAAAAGAGAAACACAAAUGGAAAUUCACUUUCUGGCCUCAGGGAGGAAACUAUCACACAGCAGUUUGUCUUUAUGUUUGGUUGUUCAGUUUUACAGUCAUCUCAUUUUUGUUUUUCACGCUCUCUCCCACCUGUCUUUUCCCUCACUUUUAGAGGUGUCCUUGUAAAACAAAGUCAGAGGAGAAAAACAAAGAAAUACGAUGAUAAACGUCUGUGGAAAAGAAAGAAAAGAGGAAAGUGAGGAAAUGAAAAUAGGAGUAUGAAAGAGAUGACGACAGUUUUUCAUUUUAUUCUGGUAAAUCCUUUCCUGAAGUUUGUAAACCAUGUCAGGCAGCAUGGUGGGUUUUUUCUUGCAUGUAUGAAACAUAAAAUACUUGAAUGUCUGAUUGAUUUUCUGUCAAAUGUUUGGAUUGUUUAUGUUAAAUGAGUUAAAAACAGUGAGUGACUGAAAUGCAAACAGAAAAUGAGACUUUUUAUCGGUGAAUUUGAAAGAUUAAGAGGCUUAACCCCCAAUUUCAUGGCGGAUUAUGGACAGCAGGAAUCGCGAGAACUCACAAGAACCCGUGGAUUCACAUUCCAUUACGUGAUAACGAGAUGUCUGUAUAAAGACAGACACAUAGACAUAUAAUCACAGAGUGUUUUAUUUUGAAAAGAAGCCGGAUGUUUUAUUUUGUGUCUGUGCCCGACUUCCUUUCCAGCACGGGUUAAUCUGUGCUGAAUUUAUCCGCCAUGCUCCGGCGUCCAGAAAAAAUAGAACUCUUGUGAUCAGCUGAUAAAAGAAGUCGGUGUAAAUUGACACGUUAACUUGAAUGGUUACGAUCAGCUACGAUCGGAGGAUACGACCUUUUCUUCAGUCCUCCAUCAUGACCUCCAGCUCCCACGGUUGGAGACUCUAAUCUGACUGUAAGACGAUAAUAGUUUAGAUUUACUGACUUCCCUGAAUGCUUCAGAAAGACAAAUGAACAGGAAACCAGCAUGAAGAGAAACUAUUUACAGAGAAACUGAGACUCUCCUCAGACAAAGACGACUCCUGAGGAUGUAACAGUAAAGAAACGGAGACAGGUAUUUUACAGAGGUAUCUGAAACGGCGGUUUUCACUUCUCCUCUGACUUGAACUCACCAUCGAUUCUCAACACAUGCACAGAUACAAACAGAGCAUGAUCACCAUAAACAGGUCACUCCUGUCCAUUAGCAGCUUUAUUGGAUUCUGCUUCAGUCUGAUUAAACUCAACAUCCUGACACACGUUGACAGACUAAUGAGCCGGCCCUCGUUACAUGUGUGUGUCUGUCCAUGUCUUAUUACAGGCUGAGAAACAAACGUUUGGAUGUCUGAGUCUUAAUAUCAGCCUCUUCUGACCAAUCAGGCGUCCAAAGUCGAGGAGGUUGAUGCUUGUAGCCGAAGCAGCUGGAAAACAUCUGCAGCAGUGAUCCAGAGGAACCUACAGGAUGAUGGAGCUCAAGGACUCUCAGAAAAGAGUGUGUUUUAGUGACUCAGAGAGAGGAUGGAGAAGGAGAUCCAUCAUCAUCCAUCCACACGCCUCUCCCUCUCCUUCUCUAGAAAACAGGUACGGAUGUGGAAAACUCAGUAUAAAUGAUAAAAUCAUGAUUUUACACAUCAUAAAUAAUUAUUAAAAAACUCAAACAUAAUGGAAAGUUAAUUUAGUUUGUCACUUUCCUUCUUCUGUCAUUAAAUGAUGAAUUUAUAAUAAGUAAUCUGACACAUGACGUGUCAGAUGUUUGAAUUUAAAUGAAAUCUUAAUAAAUAAAUGAUAGUAGCUUUCUUAAAUGACCACUUUCCUAAUUGAGUUAGUUGUUCCUGCAGUGAAUGUCAGACCUCUCUAAUAGAUGUGAGGUUUUUAUAAUAAGUAGUGUGUGCACAGGUGACGGCCUGCAGAAAUGAAGCUGUCAGGCUGAACGGUUGGAUUUGGAGGAGGACCUGGUUGGAUGUUUGACACCUGCAGGCACUUUGUUCCACGUCUGAUGUGAGCGACAGCCACCGCCGCCGCCGCCUCCUCCUUCUCAGGGGAUUAGAGGGAUCAGAUGAAACUGAGAGUCUGGACAGGAGAGUUAGGGAGGCUGCUUCCAUGUGUUUCAGUCUCCUAAAAUAAGGAUUAUUGCAGAACAUGAACAUUUUUGGCACAAAUUCUUCCUCUAAUGAAGGCUGCACCAUCUGUGAGGGGG
rnacentral:lncRNA from 1 species